GUCCUUAUGGUAGGUAAUAUAUAAGGUCUGGCCUGCCCACUGAAGGAAUUUAAAGGGCCGCGGUAUACUAACCGUGCGAAGGUAGCAUAGUCAAUAGUCUCUUAAUUGGGGGCUUGAAUGAACGGUCGGACAUAGGGAAAGCUGUCUCAGCUUUUAAUGAUGAAUUUAACUUUUGUGUGAAAAGGCAUUAAUGUAUUAGUGGGACGAUAAGACCCUAUAAAACUUGACGUUUAAUUUAGGUUCUGUGAUUUUGGAGUAAAGGAGAGCCUGAUUAGUUCGUUGUGCUGGGGCGGCAAGAAUAAAAUUUGUAACUGUUCUUUAUAUUGAAUAAUGAUUUUUAGAUGUUGGAUCCUGAAUUUUGGGUUAGAAGAUUAAGUUACUUUAGGGAUAACAGCGUUAUUUCUCUUGAGAGUUCAUAUCGACAGAGAUAUUUGCGACCUCGAUGUUGAAUUAAAGUUUUUCCCGGGAGUAGAAGUUCGGGCGGUGGGUCUGUUCGACCCUUGAAACUUUACAUGAUUUGAGUUCAAACCGGUG
rnacentral:rRNA from 1 species